GAUGAACGCUGGCGGCGUGCCUAAUACAUGCAAGUCGAGCGAACGGACGAGAAGCUUGCUUCUCUGAUGUUAGCGGCGGACGGGUGAGUAACACGUGGAUAACCUACCUAUAAGACUGGGAUAACUUCGGGAAACCGGAGCUAAUACCGGAUAAUAUUUUGAACCGCAUGGUUCAAAAGUGAAAGACGGUCUUGCUGUCACUUAUAGAUGGAUCCGCGCUGCAUUAGCUAGUUGGUAAGGUAACGGCUUACCAAGGCAACGAUGCAUAGCCGACCUGAGAGGGUGGUCGGCCACACUGGAACUGAGACUCGGUCCAGACUCCUACGGGAGGCAGCAGUAGGGAAUCUUCCGCAAUGGGCGAAAGCCUGACGGAGCAACGCCGCGUGAGUGAUGAAGGUCUUCGGAUCGUAAAACUCUGUUAUUAGGGAAGAACAUAUGUGUAAGUAACUGUGCACAUCUUGACGGUACCUAAUCAGAAAGCCACGGCUAACUACGUG
rnacentral:rRNA from 1 species